rnacentral:tRNA from 1 species
GCGCCCGUAGCUCAGUAGGAUAGAGCAUCGGUUUCCUAAACCGAAGGUCACAGGUUCGAAUCCUGUCGGGCGUACCA